rnacentral:lncRNA from 1 species
AUGCGACUAGCAACCAAGGAACAAGAGAUGCAAGAGUGUACUACUCAAAUCCAGUACCUCAAGCAAGUCCAGCAGCCGAGCGUUGCCCAACUGAGAUCAACAAUGGUAGACCCAGCGAUCAACUUGUUUUUCCUAAAAAUGAAAGGUGAACUGGAACAGACUAAAGACAAACUGGAACAAGCCCAAAAUGAACUGAGUGCCUGGAAGUUUACGCCUGAUAGGUAA